rnacentral:rRNA from 1 species
UCCGGGAUUUAUUGGGGUUUAAAGGGUCCGUAGGCGGAUCUGUAAGUCAGUGGUGAAAUCUCACAGCUAACUGUGAACCUGCCAUUGAUACUGCAGGUCUUGAGUGUUUGUUGAAGUAGCUGGAAUAAGUAGUGUAGCGGUGAAAUGCAUAGAUAUUACUUAGAACACCAAUUGCGAAGGCAGGUUACUAAGCAACAACUGACGCUGAUGGACGAAAGCGUGGGGAGCGAACAGGAUUAGAUACCCUGGUAGUCCACGCCGUAAACGAUGCUAACUCGUUUUUGGAAUGUAAGUUUCAGAGACUAAGCGAAAGUGAUAAGUUAGCCACCUGGGGAGUACGAACGCAAGUUUGAAACUCAAAGGAAUUGACGGGGGCCCGCACAAGCGGUGGAUUAUGUGGUUUAAUUCGAUGAUACGCGAGGAACCUUACCAAGGCUUAAAUGGGAAAUGACAGGUUUAGAAAUAGACUUUUCUUCGGACAUUUUUCAAGGUGCUGCAUGGUUGUCGUCAGCUCGUGCCGUGAGGUGUUAGGUUAAGUCCUGCAACGAGCGCAACCCCUGUCACUAGUUGCCAUCAUUAAGUUGGGGACUCUAGUGAGACUGCCUACGCAAGUAGAGAGGAAGGUGGGGAUGACGUCAAAUCAUCACGGCCCUUACGCCUUGGGCCACACACGUAAUACAAUGGCCGGUACAGAGGGCAGCUACACUGCGAAGUGAUGCAAAUCUCGAAAGCCGGUCUCAGUUCGGAUUGGAGUCUGCAACUCGACUCUAUGAAGCUGGAAUCGCUAGUAAUCGCGCAUCAGCCAUGGCGCGGUGAAUACGUUCCCGGGCCUUGUACACACCGCCCGUCAAGCCAUGGAAGUCUGGGGUACCUGAAGUCGGUGACCGU